rnacentral:rRNA from 1 species
UACGAAGGGUGCAAGCGUUGUUCGGAAUUAUUGGGCGUAAAGCGCGUGUAGGCGGCUUUGCAAGUCGGGUGUGAAAGCCCUCAGCUUAACUGAGGAAGUGCGCCCGAAACUGCUUGGCUUGAGUACCGGAGAGGAUGGUGGAAUUCCCGAAGUAGAGGUGAAAUUCGUAGAUAUCGGGAGGAACACCGGUGGCGAAGGCGACCAUCUGGACGGAUACUGACGCUGAGACGCGAAAGCGUGGGUAGCAAACAGG